GCCUGGGUGGCUCAGUCAGUUGAGCAUAUGACUUCGGCUCAGGUCAUGAUCUCACGGUCUGUGGGUUCGAGCCCCGCGUCGGGCU
rnacentral:tRNA from 1 species